rnacentral:lncRNA from 1 species
ACGCCCAGUCCUCCUUGUCUCCUCCGCUUCUGCAGCCGAAGAAUGCCUCAACAAGCACGACAUCGUUUUCGCCAACCGCCCGCGUCUGCUGGCUGGAAAACAUCUGGGAUACAAUUAUACCUCAAUGGCAUGGACGUCCUACGGGGAUCACUGGAGAAAUCUACGGCGGAUAGCUUCACUGGAGAUCUUGUCUUCCCACAGGCUUCAAACGCUUCACGGGAUACGUGUUGAUGAAGUAAAAUUGAUGCUGAAAAGGCUGUUUUCAGCUUCAGAAAACAAGAAAAGCGUGGAUAUGAGGGCCCUUUUCUUUGAGCUGAUGUUGAACGUGAUGAUGAGGAUGAUUGCUGGGAAGAGGUAUUAUGGGGAGAAUGUUGGGGAAGUUGAGGAGGCUAGGAGGUUUAGGGAGAUUGUAGAGGAGACGAUGAUAAUUGGUGGAGCUUCGAAUAUGGGAGAUUUCUGGCCGGUUUUGAGGUGGUUAAAAGUGGGAAAGAAGGAGAAGGCCUUGAGGGUUUUGCAGGAGAAUAGGGAUCAAUUCGUGCAGGAGUUGAUCAAGGGGUUUAGGAGUGCAAAAGAUGCAGAAAAUGGUGGCGGCGAUGCAGAGGAAACAGGGGAAAAGAAGAAAACGUUGAUUGAAGUUUUGUUGACCCUGCAACAGAAGGAGCCUGAGUAUUACAAGGAUGAAAUCAUUAGAAGCCUUAUGCUGGUAUGGUUACUCUGAUAAAUUUCUUUCUGGCUCUUCUUCUUCUUAUUAAUGUAGCUAAUUUGUUAUCAUUUCUAUGUUCCCUAGAAAAUGUCAAACUUCGAUUAAGGACAAAUUAAUAGAAAUUGAAAGUAAUUCGAAGAUUAAGUGACUAAAUCUAGAUGGCCAAAAUUUGCUUUCUUUGAGUAUAAAAUAUAAGCUUACUUCAGUUGUCGUACAGUAAUUCGAUUGCUUCCAUUAUUGUGCAAAGUUAUGAUGAAUAAGAAAAAUUCACUGGUACAGUUCAAGAAUAGAGUUGACCGCACGGUGUGAACAGGAGUAGAUCCCAACGUAUUGGGCGGGGGGCCCACUUUUCUUCGGUGUUGGCAUUUGACAGUGAAGCAGAAAGAAAGUAUGAUGUCUAGCCAACCGAUGUCUAAAGUUGGUUGACUAGAUUUUAGAAGCAAAUGUCACUGAUCAUGCUCUUCAUUCUACCGUUUACCACUUUCUUCUUCUUUUCUCAAGUGCAUUUCACCAUUGACCGCUUUCGUAUUGCAGGUUUUACUAGCAGCAGGUACCGAUACAUCAGUGGGAACAAUGGAGUGGGCAUUGUCACUAAUGCUAAACAAUCCAUCAACUUUGGAGAAGGCAAAAGCAGAAAUUGACAGAAUCAUAGGAAAAGAACGUUUAUUAGAUGAAUCAGAUGUGGCUAAUCUACCCUAUCUCCGGUGCAUAAUUAGUGAAACAUUGAGGAUGUUUCCAGCAGGGCCUAUAAUGCUACCCCACGAAUCCUCCGAGGAAUGUGUGGUUGGGGGUUACCGUGUGCCUGGGGGGACAAUGUUGAUUGUCAAUUUGUGGGCUAUCCAAAAUGAUUCCAAGAAUUGGGAGGAUCCAAGAAAAUUCAAGCCUGAAAGAUUUGAAGGGCUUGAAGGGACCAGAGAUGGCUACAAAUUAAUGCCAUUUGGUUCUGGUAGAAGAGGUUGUCCUGGGGAGGGAUUGGCCAUGCGCAUGGUUGGAUUUGCUUUGGGAUCAAUUAUUCAGUGCUUUGAUUGGAGCAGAAUCAGUGAGGAGAUGGUAGAUUUGGCUGAGGGGCCUGGACUGACUCUGCCUAAGGCUCAACACUUAGUCGCCAAUUGUCGAGCACGACCUGGAAUCAUGAGCCUUCUUUCUCAAAUUUAGACUGCGACGAGGAUGUAUCUUGACUCUUGAGAAAGGGUGGGCAGUAUUUGCCUCGUCUCUUCUUCUUGUUUGAAGAAAAAAUAUGUACUAGUAAAAAAAAAAAAGUCUUGUUUUAUAUAUUUCACUUGUUUCUUUAAGGGAAAAAAUGACGGAGUAAUUUACUUUAUAGUAGUUGCUAUUUGAUGACGCUAAUUUUUGAAUUUCCUUGUUUUAAGUUGGAAUUUUCACAGCACAAUAAUUAUACCUUGCAACUCCUAACUGAAAACAACUCAAACCAUAUAUUUAUUCAUUCUCCUAAUGUCCACACUAAGCAAUAUCUUAGUUGGCAACUUCUUGAUCCGAAAGUUUUCUUUAGUGUUGAUAAUCAAUGAGAGAUAAAAAAAAAUGAGUAUCUAAAAAUAUAAAGGUCUAUCUAUUUGGACAACCGUUCUUAAGACAUAUUUCAGAUAAAAAAAUACAAGAUUAAUUAGAAUAAAUAAAUAUAAAGAGGGGCAGGAAAGAUUAAAUAGACAAACAUAUAUAAGUACAAGGAAGGAUAAUAAUUGUAGUAAAUGUGUGUGUAUAUAUAUAUAUAUAAUAAAUUAGAUAAAUUUUAAAUGUAUUAACGAGUGUCUAGUAAACACCCGAAAAAAUCCAAAAUAUGACGAUUUUUUUCCGUAAGAAAACUCGAAUAUGAGACGUCUCAGUUGCACUUCGUCCCUAGAAACGCCCAACCAAUAUCCCUUCCCUUCUAAAGGCCGCUGCCGCUAGUGCUGAUGACCAGGGCAUGGUCGAUAUGAAAUCAGCCUUCUUCGAACUCACACUGAACAUUAUGAUUAGGAUGAUUGCUGGAAAACGGUAUUCUGGUGAUGGCUCAGGAAAAAUAGGGGGAGUCGCGAGCUUUCAAGAGAUGGUUAAAGAGAGUGUUAAAGUCAGCGGAUCAACAAAUGCUGCAGAUUUUGUUCCGCUACUGAGGUGGAUAGGGCAAAAUAAGCUUGAAAGUCAUCUGAAAACGUUGCAGAUGAAGAGGGAAAAGUUCCUACAAGAUUUGAUUGAAAAGCACGGAAGCAUCACCAGUCAUCGUGAGAACAAGACACUGAUUGAUGUUCUCUUAUCUCACCCAGAGACAGAACCAGAGUACCAUACGGAUCAAAUCAUCAGAGGCUUGGUUCAGGUGAGUCAAGUUUUAAGGAGAAUAGUAGAUCGGUCCCUCGAAAGUGCCAACAUUCCAUAAAAUCAAGUAUAUUAACAACCUAAGAGAAUCCACCUCAAGCGCUAGCUAGCUGUCAUACUUGAAGGGUAGGAUCAUAAGUUCAUAGCAUUAACUUCCCUGCUUUUUCAGCUUUUAACAAUCAGUCAAGAUAACUCAAAAGCAUGUAUCAUGUGUUAUCCGGUAUUGAUAGAGAUAAUAAAUCAAAUUUCGUCUAAUCUUAAUAGCUGAUAAUGUUAUCGGCGGGAAGUGACGCAACAUCUGGAACUAUGGAAUGGGCACUGUCAGUUCUGCGGAACAACCCAGAGGCUUUAAAGAAAGCACAAGAAGAAAUAGACUUUCAAAUAGGCCAAUCAAGGCUGAUAACUGACUCCGACCUUGGCCAGCUUCCUUACCUUCAAGCAAUAAUAAACGAAACCUUUCGUAUGUAUCCUGUGUCCCCUUUUAUCUCCCUGCAUGAAUCAUCCGAAGAAUGUACAGUUGAAGGCUUUGGUAUCCCUCGUGGGACAUUGCUCCUAGUGAACCUUUGGGCUAUUAAUUAUGAUCCUGAAAUAUGGGAAGAACCCACAAAAUUCAAACCUGAAAGGUUCAUGAACUUGGAAGAUCAGAGAUAGAGAUUCGAGUUUAUGCCAUUCGGGCUUGGCCGAAGAGGAUGUCCUGGAGAAAAUUUUGCUCGACGAGUUGUGGGGUUGGCAUUGGGUUCACUUAUUCAAUGCUUUGAGUGGGAAAGACCUGGGGAAGAAUUGGUGGACAUGAGUGAAGGAGCUGGGCAUACUAUGCCUAGAGCUCAACCGCUGCUGGCAAAGUAUAGGCCACCCCCUGAAAUGGUUAAGCUUCUUUGAGUUGUGAUCUGAGUGUUUGACAAUGUUUUCUUCCUACAACACCUAGACGACUGUGGAGAAACAAGUGAACAAGAAAACAGAGGAUGUCUCUCUGUACGUGUUUGUUUUAACUUUUAAUACUACUAUUUUAUCUCUUUCAACUUCGCUUUGUGUUGCUGCAAGAAAGUAUAAAAAAGCAAAGGGUUUACUCUAGUUUCUUGCUUUCUCCAAAGAUCCAGCAUUUUCAUGUGUGUUUCUAUUAUUUGUUAACCAAUGGUUCAGAAUUCAAUCGACGGAGAAGCAAAAUUUUGCCAAGCAUGAGAAAUUCCCAAAAUUCUGAUCAAAUUUAAAUUAUUUGUAAGAUGCUUUUGGUUGCAUGUUGUACUUUAGAGGGUCCUCACGUUCUGUAAUUUAGAGCUUUCUUGCAUUCUAUAACUGCGAGGUAAGGUAAGCAAAAUUUAAAUUGCCCCCAGGGCAUAUGGCGUAGCGGUUGAGGGGUCGGUCUUGAGUUGUUGACUUCUUCACUGAUUGGGGUUCGAUUUGUACCCGCUACGCUGCACAUCCUGACUCACCCGGGAAAACUGUAUGGAGCUAUCGGCUUCCCUCCAAUUUGGUAUGCCGGCUCGGGUCCAAAGGGUUCGGAUCGGGGCAUGUUCCGAAUUACCAAAAAAAAACUUAAAUUUUGAUCAAGUUUAUCUGCUUUGGAAAAACCCCAUUCAACAGGAGGUUGCCCACUGCAAAAAAGCACCCCUAUUGUACAAUUUUUCAAACAUCAUCAAAAUCUUGUUUUUGAGGUUUCAAAGCCGCUAAAUUGAACAUUAGCUCUGAAUCGGAUAAUUAUGUUCAAUGGUGAUGUUUUGCUGAUAAUUACUCUUUAGUUAGUCCAGUGCGCAUGUACGCAUAGUCCAUUCGAUGCCCGUGGGAAACAGGUGUUACAAGGUCCAUGCAUUUUUCAACCAAAGAUAAGUCAAAGAGCGAAUUGCGCGAAAUGUCACUAAACUAUUUCAAAGUGCCGGUUCUGAUCAUUAAACUUUUUUAUUAGCGCGAAAUGUCACUGAACUAGUAAAUCUAUACCGUUUUGGUCACUCCGUGUAUUUGUGCCGUUAGGAGAGACGGAAAUUAACUUUUUGAGGGGUAAUUUCGUCUACACAAUAGUUAAAAAAUUUAUGCCUUCAUUCUUCUUCACCCACAACCAUAGUGCUAUACCAUAUUUACAUUCCCAGCCUUCCCGUACGCAUCAAUCAUCACAGAAUAGGUAACCUCAUCCGGUUCACACCCAAAAGACGGCAUUUUUUCGAACCACUGGACGGCUUUCUCAGGUAAAGAAGACAGCCUGGCGCAGCUAAUUAUGGUGGAAAGGAGGAGUAUUGGACCAGCAAUCAAAGAAUCAAGAGAUGAAUUCGCUGAAGAAGGGUUCUUUUCGUCCUCUGGGGCUGCUGCUUGGCCUUGUACCUGUCCCAUAUCUCAUCGAGAUUGGAUGCUACGGAGAUGAAGUAAGAGGAAAAGGCAACAGCAGCAACCAAAAAAUUGGGAUGGACGAGAAUUUUGAAGUUGGAGUUGGGGUUGGGUGCUAUCUGCAACCCAUGUAAAGUUGUGGAGUGAUUUGCGAUUAAUCUGUUAAAUGUUAUUGUGCCAACUGCCAACAGAAUUGGAAUGGACAUCAAAGUCCAGUGUAGGCCGACGACGGACGGAGCUCUCUAUGCCCACCCACUUCUGCAACAAAACCACCGAACUUUACAUUUAAUUUCUCAUUCUUUUCACUCUUUCCGCAUCGUCAUUUUCGCCACUCCCAACCCCAGAGGUAUGUAAAGGUGACAUUAUCGGGCUUAACUCCUCUCUCAAUCAUAUCCGUAAACAAUUUCUCGGCUCUGUCCAAGUCUCUACAUUUUCUAAACACCUUGAAGGUAACAUUAUACAAAAUCACUUCUUUCUUCAACUUAAGCCUUUCCAGAAAGUAACUCAGCACCAAAGGCGCAGUUUCAGAGUUGGACAUGUUAUUGAGCACAACGGCAGCAUCUUGCUCUACAACUUUGCCACCCAAAUUAGCCAAAAUACUAAUAACGUCAGCUUCUACAGGGUCACACGAGUCCAAUUGUUGGGAAGCUUGGACUAAAGAAGCAUACCUGAAAUCGUAGGAAUUGCGCCUGAGCUUUGAUGCCCUGGAGCUGUUGGGGUUGACCCAGAUAUAGCUUUUUGAGGAAGAAGAGAUGGUUUUAGCAUCUGGGCGGUGAGGAAUUUGGGAAAUUGAGGGGGAUUGUUGUUGGGAAGCCGGUAUAGAGAGGGAAGGUUUUGGAUGGGGCUUGAGAGGAGGAAAAGCGAGGGCGUUAUGGGGGAUGAUUCUGAGUUGGUGGAGGUGAGUGGGAUAAAGAGAGUUACAGAAGAGGUGUGGGUGGCGAGAGAGAUGAGACGGCGAAUAGGCGGCGGCCACCAUUCUUCUCUCUACUCUUCUUCCUUCCUUCUCAGUCGUCACUCACUCAGCAGAGCAGUCAGCAGCAUUUGAAUUUUCUUCUUUUUUACAACUAUGAAAAAUUUCGCCUGCAUUUUUUGGUUGAAGUUUGAUGGUGCCGCCAUUCAGAUCAGCCAUCUCCUUUAUGUCUUUGCCGGAUACGGAACCAUUGAUUAUGUAAAAGCUUCAAGAAAAAGGCUGUGCUGACAAAUUUGCCCCUCAAAAAGUUGAUUUCCGUCUCUCCUAACGGCACAAAUACACGGAGUGACUAAAACGGUAUAGAUUUACUAGUUCAGUGACAUUUCGCGCUAAUAAAAAAGUUUAGUGACCAGAACCGGCACUUUGAAAUAGCUUAGUGACAUUUCGCGCAAUUCGCUCUAAGUCAAAAAAAUAUUUGUCUGCGGAGCGGAACUCCAUUUUCAUAUAAAAAAAAAUGCUGAAAGUCGCCAUAUCUGUUUCAGUACUACCACUCUACCAGUUCCAUCUGACAGCUCACGACCGCAAGGGGGGGAAAAAAGACAAAUAAAAACAAGGAUCUAUGUCAAUCGCAUGUUAUAUGAAAUCUUAACACAAGAUUUAAGAUUGCAAGAUAUCAGCUGAUACAAGGUGGCCUAAGCUGAAGGCGUCUUGCUCCCUAGAAGCUAUAUCACUGAAACAGCAGGGAAUUGUUUAGAAUAUUACAUUGGAUAAGCAUUUUUUUUUUUUUUUGGUAAAUAAAGAUGCAUUAAAAAUAAAUCAAGUCAACAGAGUGCAAAUUAAGGUACAGUCAUCCGUGGGGUGGAAACCCCCUUUAAGUCUUGCAAAAGUAAGGGAAGUACAAAAUUAGGACAUAAUUCAAAAAAAGUGAAGUCUUGAGUGUUGCUUCUUCCCCAGUUGGCAAGGAUGUCUGCACAUUUGUUUGCUUCUCUAUAAUUAUGGUGAAAACAUACUUUCUGGAAUGUAGUCAAUAGCUCCCUGCAAUCAAGAAUAAUAGGUGCAAGUUCAUGAGAAAUAAGAUUAUUUGACUUACACAAGGAGAAUAUAAAGGCAGAGUCCAUCUCCACUUCGAGAGAGUGGAUGUUGAGUUUUUUUGCAAGUUGUAAGCCUUCUCUAAGAGCCCAACAUUCAGCAGAAGGAACUGAACAGAAGCCUAAAUUUCUUGCAAAGCCCGCAAUCCAUAUCCCAUUUGAGUCACGAAUAAUGCCGCCAGCUCCUGCCUGGUUUGUUGGUCCAGAGACUGAACCAUCAGUGUUGAGCUUGGCGAAACCUAUAGCAGGGGGGAUCCAUCUGAUGAAUUUUUCUUGUCUAGGGGAUCUGGAGAAGUGAGAACCAGGCCCUAGUAGGCUUCUGUUCCAGAUGCACGCCUCCGAGCAAGGAUGUAAAUGAAUCUAACCAAACUGAACACCCUAGUAUUCAAGUUUAUUUGAUUAUUUUAACAAGUUUGUAAUUUUAUUCAAAUUUAAUUUAUUUAUUUAUCGAACCAAGUUUGUUUGAUUAUUUUACCGAAUUUGAACGAGCUAUUUAUUGAAGAGUGUGUUUGGAUAGGAGAUUAUUUGAAAUAUUAUUUAGAAUAAUUACUGUAGCACUUUUUGUAAUGUAAUGUAUGUAAAAUAAAAAGAUGAUUGAGAAGAUAAAAAGAUGUGUUGGAAAUUGUAUUUGUGAUGUAAGCAAAUAAUUUCUAGCCAUUAUUUGGCUAUCCAAACACACUGAAUAUAAAACGAUAUUCAAUCUUAAUUUGACUAGUUAGCAAAUCAAACUCGAAUGAACUCAAACCAAACUGAACUCGAUUCAAAUAUCAAGUAGAUUGAUUUAUCUUUCAACAUUUCGGAGUUGUUAUCCAUGUGUUUGAGAAUGUCAUCCUCCUGUAUUGUGUUUUGGUUUUUCAAGUCCCGAACGAUGUUUUUUUGUUGCAGCAAAGGAGGAAAGUUUUAGAGAGCUUAGGAUAUUACAAUAAAAUAGCAGUCAGGAGUAGCGAAGGAGGAAACAUAUGAUUCAGCCGAAAGGGGAACGAAAAGAAGAAGAAGAAGAAGAAGAAGAAGAGGAGAAGUUAUGGUUUUAAUUUAUUUGAAGAAUUGCCAUAUAUAUAUAUAUAUAUAUAUAUAUGUAUUUUAGGUAAAAGAAGAUUAUAUACUAGUAGUAGUUUGGAAAAAUAAGGAAUGCGAUCAUAAUAAGUAAAUGCAAAAAAGUUUGCCGUAAACUCCUUUGAGUGUUUGUAGUUGUCAAAGCUCUUUGUCAGGCUGCCCCCAGUGGUUCGAAAAUGUGCUGAGGACCUCUUUUGAACUAAUUUGUUACAUGGAUGGAAACCAUACGCACACCAAAAGAUUAGAAAUUUUCAUGCUAUCCCUUGUUUCUACAUUUAAUAAUAAUAAUAAAAAAAAGUGGAUGAGGCGUUGAUCUACAAAGUUGAGGUUUUAGAAUUUGGAGAUCUUGAAUUCAAUACUUAUCAAAGUGUGAGUCUCUAAACUUUGUGUUAGUAUUUAUCCCACCAUAUGUAUGUAGAUUAGUUGUAGUUCGAAAUAUUUGUAAUCUCUUAUAUUAGUCCUAUAGUUGUAGAUUAUACACGAUAUUAUCGAAGAAAAUAUUUAAAGAAGAAAAAAAAUGCAAUCUUAGUGCCCGAUAUGUAAAAUUGGUAACCACGAAACAAAUCUUGAUGAAUCCACGAAAUUCACCAUGAUCCCAAUAUAUGGGAAGAACCCACGAAAUUUAAGCCUGAAACGUUUGGGGGAUUCGUGUUUAUGGCAUUUGGGUAUGGUCAAAGAGCAUGUCUUGGUGAAAAUUUAGCUAGACAAGUUGUGAGGUUGGCAUUGGGCUCACUCAUUCAAUGCCUUAAUUGGGAAAGAAUUGGUGGAAAUGAGCGAAGGAGCUGGGUUUACUAUGCCAAGAGUUCAACCGCUGCUGGCAAAGUACAGGCCGCGCCCAGAAAUGGCUUCUUUCUGAGUUGUGAUCCUGGUGUUUUGGGAAUGUUCUUUGCCACCUGCACCACUGGGGAAUCGACUGUACGAGGAAAACAGAGGAUUUCCCACUGUAGUGCGUGCGUACCACGUUGGCUUACCACUACUUUUUAUAUUUUACCUUCACUUGGUCCAUAAUUUUUGCAGCUCAAGGAUGUGAAAAAGUCCGUGCCGUCCUGAUUCCAUUGUAAUGUAAGCUGGUCAAAGCUACAAGCCGGUUAUAUACGACGCUACUCCAAGAAAGGAGAAAAAUAUAAGCAAAGCAAGGAGGCCGUAAAGGAUGGAUAUCAGUAGCAGAUCAUUGACAGAUAAGAUACUAAUAUUCAAGAAUGAGAGGGCCGUAUCCCUUACGUCAAAGGAGUUUUGAAUCUUGAUUACUGAUACAUUCUUGAAAUAACAAUAAUGAAUUACUAGAUAAAAUAGGCAUACGGCAUAAGUAUCAUUCCAACACUUUGGAUUUAACCUCGAUCUCUAUGGAUGCUUCAUACUGCUACCUCCUGCUUUUUCCCUUCCUGUAUUUACUUACCAAUCAAAUCAUCAAAAAGUUCCGGAAUCUCCCACCAAGUCCACCUCUUUCCUUACCCAUAAUUGGCCAUCUUCAUCUCAUCCAGAAACCACUCCACCGAGGACUAGCUAAGAUCUCCGAUAAAUAUGGUCCAAUACAGUUUCUUCAUUUUGGUUCUCGGCCUGUCCUGCUUGUAUCUUCACCCUCAGCUGCAGAAGAAUGCUUCACCAAGAAUGACAUAAUCUUCGCUAAUCGGCCAAGAUUUCUCGCCGGAAAACACCUUGGCUACAACUAUACAACUCUGGGAUGGGUCUCAUAUGGCCAACACUGGCGCAACUUGAGAAGAAUAGCUACUGUGGAGAUCUUAUCUGCUACCCGAAUUCAAGCUUACACGAGCAUCCGUGUUAACGAGGUCCAUUCAUUGAUCAAGUACCUUCUAAUGGCCUCUAAAGCUAGUGACUCUAGCACGGUUGAGAUGAAAUCGGCCUUCUUUGGGCUGACACUUAACAUCAUGAUGAGGAUGAUUGCAGGAAAGCGAUACUACGGCGAUGAUGCCCAGAACAAGGAGGAAGCCGCAAGGUUCAAAGAGAUAGUUAAAGAGACUUUUCAACUCAGUGGGGCGACAAACAUAGCAGAUUAUAUUCCAUUAUUGAAGUUUUUUGGGCAACAGAAGCUUGAAAGCAAGCUGAAGACUUUGCAGGCGAAGAGGGAUCAAUUCUUGCAAGAUUUGAUUGAAGAACACAGAAGAACCGUGAGGAGUUCCGACAGUGAGAAGGGCAACAAAACAAUGAUAGACGUUCUCUUGUCCCUCCAACAGACCGAGUCCGAAUACUACACAGAUGAGAUCGUCAAAGGUAUGAUUGUGGUAAGUAACUAUUUAAUCCUCUCGAUAUCUUAAUCCAUCCGUCUGUUAAGCAUACAGAAAUUCUGAUCUUUGUCUGGGAUCAGUCCCAUGAAGGAUUGAGUCUGAAAAUCUAAGUCAAAGCUAGUUUGAUUGCACUAGUACCAUCUCCGUGUUGCCUUGCAUUUUUUAUUGAGCUGUAAUGCUAUGUUUCCUACACGUAACAAUUCUAGGGAUAAUUUCAGAAACCUCCCCUGAGAUUUCUAACAGUUUCACUGCCCUUCUCCGAGGUUUCUAAAAUAUCAGAAACCUCCCCUACUAGGUCAUUGGGGUCCAAUUGUCACAUCAAUCAUGGAAGAAUGACUUAAUUACCCAUACAACUUAAGAGGUAUUUCCCAAUUAUGUUCACAUGAUUAGUUAAACUGUUAUUAACUAGAUUUAACAGAAAUGAUGACAAUUUAUAAGUUUUUUUAAAAAAUUUCUAACAUGCCAUUACAAAAAGGGGGCCAUAUAUAGGCACCUUUCUAUGAUUGAUAAUUGAUGUAUGCGAGUAGAAGCAAUGAUUCAAACUUUAGUGUUUUUUGUGGAAUAAGAGAAAUAGAGCUUCUUUAGGUAUAUCUAAGGAUUUAGGAGAUUUGAAAAGGAGAUUUGCUCUUAAAUUUUUUUCAAAAUUUUGGUGAUUGUGAAAAUUUCAAGAUCAGCCUCUAAGAUUUUUCUGCUAUUAAAUUUUGGAAAUUUUUAUUAUUUGAUUGCAGUUGUUAAGGUAAUUCUUGAUGGUGAUGCUUAAUAGUGACCCUACAAGUGAAAAAGAAUAGUUUGGAUCAAACAAAAAAAGGAAAAUAUGAUUUUAUGUAGUUUGUAUUAUGUUCGGUAUGAUCUGCUCCAUUUGAUGAUUGGUAUUUAAUUAUAGUGUUUUUUCUUUUUUAUCCUAAUUAUUACUUUUAUUGUCAUCGAAAUUAGGUGCUGGUUUUGUAUGAAAUAUACGUAAAGAUUGUUGGUUGUAUGCUACUAAAUUGAAAAACCUUUUAAUUAUGACAAUUUUUUUCUUGUUUGUGAUUAUUCAACAAAUGUUUUUUUUUAAAUCGAAAUGUUGGUUGUAAUAGGAUUCACAUGCUUUGUUUCUCUUGUAGGAGAUUAUGCAAUUGAUGUGUUAUAAUAGAUGUAAUAGUAUGAUAUUACACAUGCAAUAUGUAGAUAAGAUUUUGAGUUGCUAAACUUGUUGUAGAGUUAGUAAAUUGAUAUUUUGUUUACGCUCUAUGAAUACGGUAACAAUUACACCGUCUCAAAUUUGAUAAAGUUAAAAUAGAUAUAUAUUGUUCGUAGGAAAUUAACUAUCUAAUGCAAAACUUGAGGGUAGUUAUGGAAUUUGACAGGUGCCGAACUUGUGCAAUAAUAAUUACUAAAAAGUCCUAAUUACCAUCACAAUUAAUUAUAGAACGAAUUCAAGUACUGGAGCAGGACCCUAGGUGAGCAAUGGGUUACUUGAUUCACCAUGUUCCCAAAGAGUUUGCUUGAUCCGAUAUACCAGAAUUGUCUAUAAAAAUACUAAGUUUGCAUACAAUGGCAAGUAGGGUCGAUUCCACAAGGAACGGGUAGGAAGUUGUUUCCUUCCAAGUCAAUAGAAUAAAAAAGAGGGACAAUUAAUGGGAUGAAACUAAAAAUAAAAUAAAUAAAAUUCAAGAGCUAACUCAACAACAAUUUAGUAAAAAUAGCAAUUAAUAAAAUUCUACCCAAAUGAUUAACUGCUCAGGCACGGUCCAAUUAAAUGAUCAUCGAUGCAAAGAUAUUUCAUUCAUCUGUCAUUAGGUUGGUUAUAGCUAUCAACAAGCUUUGACAACCAGUUCUUCCUUACUUUUUCGACAGUCAAGGUACGACCAUUGACUGUUUCUCUAACCAGAAAACAACUCUAGGUACGACCGUAAGAAUUUAAUUAUCCAAUUGGAUUAAAACUAGAAGAACCCAACCCUGAUCAAUAAGCACGCUAAGAGGGUUUAUUUAAAUCAGAUCUUACGUUUCUCCAACAUAAAGCCAAUUAUGGUGGUUGUUACUAGUUGUCAACUAAACGAAUAAUUACGGAUUCAAUUUAAUUAACGUGGCAGUAGGCUAUUAUGUUAAAUCAAAUACCCGACCGUUGAUAUCCAAUUAAUAAAAUACUCAUGAACAAUUAAUUCAGGAAACGUACGAAUAGCAAUAAGUUGGAAGAAAUAAUGAAAAUUCGAUUAGAUGUUACAGAUAUUAUGAACCGUGCUUUCGCGUCGACCUUCGGGUAGAGGAGAAAUCUAGCCGCUCCUUAUCAUAUCCAUCUCGCGUGAUUUAAUUGAAACCAUUCAAUUAAUUCCCGAAAAAUUGGGAAAGAUGAAACAACGAGGAAAACGAAUAAAAGGGCUUAAGUAUCUCUUGGUCUCUGUGUUUGUACUGGAGCAAGAAAGUAAAAGUAAAGCACUAGAGAAAGUCGGCUGCCAAAAGACAAGAGCCAAGCCGCCCGUAAGAAAUUGUCUAAUAGGAAGAGACAAAAGCUACAACUAUGAAGGUCGCGUGAUUCUGGCUUCUUAAUUGCUGCCGAAGAGAAAAAAAGGAAAAGAAAACGUCUGACACUAAAAAGCAAAAGCUAAUCUAAUUACAAAGACGUAAAUCUGGCUUUUUUCCUCUCUUUUGUAGCGGCGCCAGGAGAAAUCCACGAAAGGUCAGGAGCAAAGCUUUUCUUUUUGGGGUUUUAAUCCCAUGCCUCUCGUGGUUCACGUGGACCCAACCUCCUAAUUGCUCACUUUUUGCUGCCACCAAGCUCGCGGGUCCGGCUUUAGAUAUAUCUCCUCACUUUCUGGCGUGGCACGUCAUGAAACAAAGAGUCUUUUGGAAAUUUUUCUCGCGCGAUCACUUUUAACACCAAUCACCUACAAUUGAUACAAAUAUGAAAUAUGAGCAAAUUCUCAAUUCUUAGCAUCAUGAGUAGCCAAAAUUAGGACAGAAUAAUAGUGCAAAAUAUGCCCAAUAAUUGCUCUAUCAGAAUUAAAUUGUUUUCUCUCUUCUAAUACCAAUUUUAUAUUAUUUUUGUAUUUGAAUUGGGCUGAUUGUUACUAGCUAAUUAGCUUUAGGGGUGGUUUCCGAUAUUUUGAAAACCUCAGUGAGAUUGUCAAAAACCUCAGGGGAGGUUUCUGAAAUUAUCCCAUAAUUCUAUCUACGUCUAAUACUAUUUAUACUAAGAGGGUUGCUCACGAUAAAUGUUCUAACAUUAUCAUACACCUCCUCUUAUCCCUUCAUUUGUAUUUCUAUCUUAUUUACAGAAUCAAGAUAAUAGUAUAAAAAAUUCAAUCCCAUUGUACUAUUGAAUCAUGACGUGCAGGAAAAAAGGAAGAAGUAAAGAUAAAACGAAUGAGUAGCACAGUAUUCACCUUUAAUCCAUGCUUUAGACUAGCAGAAAAUAAUGCAAAUUUUGUCAACAGCAAAUGUUAUCAGCGGGAACCGACACAUCAUCCGGAACAAUGGAAUGGGCACUCUCCCUGCUGCUCAACAAUCCACAAGUUCUAAAGAAAGCCCAGCAAGAAAUUGACGCGUACGCUGGCCAAUCAAGGCUUAUCAAUGACUCGGACUUGGGUCAGCUGCCUUAUCUUCAUGCAAUUAUUAGUGAAACACUUCGCAUUUGCCCGGUGGCCCCUAUUCUGGUGCCUCAUGUGUCAUCCCAAGAGUGUUGUGUUGGAGGCUACAAUAUCCCCGGUGGCACGUUGCUGUUAGUGAACUUAUGGGCAAUGCAAAAUGAUCCCAAGGUUUGGGAAGAACCCACAAAAUUUAGGCCUGAGAGGUUUAUAAGUUUGGAAGGGCAAAGAGAUGGAUUUGUGUUCAUGCCAUUUGGGUUUGGCCGAAGGGGAUGUCCUGGCGAAAAUUUGGCCAUGAGCGUUGUGGGGUUGACAUUGGGGUUGCUUAUUCAAUGUUUUGAGUGGGAAAGAGUUGGGGAAGAGUUGGUGGAUAUGACUGAAGGGGCAGGGCUUACCAUGCCAAGGGCUAAAGAAUUGAUGGCCAAGUGUAAACCACGGCAAGAAAUGGUCAAACUUCUUUCUCAAUCGUGAUUGGGAUUUCAGAAGUUGGUACCUCUAAGAAAAAAACCCAUCGCAGUGAUGACAACAUUGUGAACAAAGUGUGCUUGUUUUGCCAUUAUUUUUGUGAUUCUAUACCUUCUUGUAUGUGGAAUAAAGGAUUUGAUUAAAAGUUUAAAAUACGGUUAGAGACACCUUAUUUUAAUUUAGUACGUUUUAUUGUAGGAAUAGAUGCAUAUGCAUACCUUUUUAUUUUGAUAGGUGAAAAUAAAACAACAAAAAAAAGACUUACAAAUAUGUUAGAUCUUCAAUGUUCAUGAAUAAAACUCUCUCUCUUUUUUUUUCACUUUUACUUCCUUUUGGAAAAGAAUUAAAACUCUUCUUUUUUUUUUUUACAGUUUUUUAUUUGUUCAUGAUGUGGGAGGUCUAUGUUCAUUUGAAAUCAAGAGCUCACCCCAACUUUUGUAGAAACUAGAGGGGAAGUUAGUGUAGUUUACCAACAAGAUACGUGUCUACUUACUUGAAUAACCAGUAAUAAGAUUUAAGGAAGAAAAACUUGGGCUACUCCAGUUAGCAAUGCCCAAGUAUCAAAAAAUGAAGAGCCCAAAUUCAUGUGAAAAUGUAUACAUGUUCUUGGUUAAUUUCACAAUAAACUUGUAAUCCUUUUUUUUGGCAAUUCAAAUUAAAUUCCAUUUUGCCUUUGGAUAUAACCAAGAGUUAUGUCCCUUUUAAUGAAUCUAGUAUAUUUUGGAGGGCUUUACUACUUCAAAUUUUUUUUUAAAAAUUUUAUCAGUAGUAAUCAUGAAAAAUAAAUCAUUUUCAACUAUGUAGUACUGAAAGAAACAUGCGACAGAAAAGAGUGGCAUCUCCAUAUAUUUUCUGAGCGUCAAAAUAAAAUUAUAAACUUUCUACCACUAACUCUUUUAUCUAAACCAUGCAAUUUUGCGUGCAUCAAAAUAGCGUAAUUAUUCAGUUUUCGUGUAAGGAAAUGAAAAUCUUAGGACUUGCUAGGAAAAACAUGGCGGUCUGGCUUCAGUGAAAUAUUUUUGCUAGAAAAUGUCGACUAACUUACCUACCUUUUAAUUCUUAUACUCUUUUCGUCCCAUUGAAAGUGUUAUACUUUUAUUUUAGAAUGUCUCAAAAUAUUUGUUCUGUUAAUAAAGUCAAAAUAUAUUUUAGUCUCUCUCUUCAACAUAGUUCAUCUCUCUAAUCAUAUACACGUUACCAUUCAAAUUCAAAUGUUGAAUUUGUAGGAAUAAAAUUGAAAAGAGAAGCACAAACAUCACAAUCAAACCACUAUUUUUAAAAAGUUUGAUUUUUGAAACAGAACCAAAUAAUUAGGACGGAAGGAGUAUAAACUAAAAUGAAAAAGGAAGUCUAGUGAUAAUUGAACCGUCAAAUAUCAUAAACCUUUUCAUAAAAUUGCUGGCUGAUCAGUAUAGCAAGUAGAUGAUGAUGCUUGUGUAGUUGCUAUCAUCCUUAGGUAUGAAAUUUUUCAUGAAGACCCCUUAGUAAUAAGUUUCUGAAUAGCUUCCCACAAAAGUUUCCGGGAGGUAAAUUAACAAUCUUUUGCAUUACUUUGGCCCCGGAGACAUGACAAUAAUAUCUUAGACGAAAGAACUUAGCCCCGACAAAUAUCAUGAACUUAUUGACAAUAGGUGGCUUAAUUUGUAAGAAAUAAAAAAUUAUUUAAAAAUAAGAAAAAAAAAUUAUUUAACGAAAUGCAAGUAACAUCUUGAACGAUUUUUCCUUAUUAACUCACAAAGUUAAGUUCCACUGUGGUACUUGCCAAUGGAACAAAGUUGACAGCAAAUCUUGUUGGUUGAAUGAGUCUCCUGACACAGCGUAUUAAGCAAUAAGCAUUCAUUGGUAUACCCAAACCUAUUACUCUGUAUAAGUGUACGUAUCAUAUUCACCCGUACCGUACGUCUCUUUCUACAUUUAGACACUCCCAUAUUUCUAUAUUAAUUUCACUUUUGCUAAAGGAUUACUGGGUAAAGUGUAAAGCACGGCAAGAAAUGGUUAAACUUCUUUCUCAAUUGUGAUUUGUGGGACUGUUUAACUGUCAAAAUUAAUGUGAAAACGUAUGAGAAAGUAGAAUCCUCGAAAUCCUUUAUUUUUUCAAAAUUUAGUUUUUUAAAUACUAAAAAUUUUUAAAAAUACUCUAAAAAGUAAUCUAAAUUUUUUUAAUGUUUAAAAAAUAUUCCAAAAUAUAUUUUAAAAACUCUACUACUCUUAAAUAUUUCAAAAUAUUUUCUAAAAAUAUUUCAAAAUAUACUCUAAAAACUCUGCUACAGUAAAGUUUUCAAAAAAUAUCUCAAAAAACAGCUAAUCCAAACGGAGUAAUUGAUAAACCCUAAGACAUUUAGAUGGUGAAGAAAAAGUAAAAUUAACACCACUCUUUUAACUGUUGGAAUACUUUCAAGGUACUAAAUUAUACCUUCUUAGUACCACUCGAAAGAAAGAAAAACAAGCCUUGGAAAGAAAUAGUAUCUAGAAUAAAUCUACUGCACAAUUUGGGAAUUAUUCAUCAUUCGAUCAAGUGAUGAAUAAAUCAUACGCAAGUUCAUGUAUUAGCAGAUUAAUUAUUGAAUCUAUUCAUAAAUCAGAGGAUUGCGACACAAGGAAACUUGCAGAAUUGGACAACUAUAUGGUCCCGAAGAAAAGAAAUUGACUUGCUUCAAGAUUUCCACAAACUUGGAGCGGGGGGCGAGUGGUGACGGACGACUAAGGAACUCAAGAAAGUUAAAAUAGCCAAUUACGCAAAGUUUUGGAUCCAUUAGUUGAUUGACUGACUUCUAUUGCUAGCCGGUCAAUGCCCCCUUUUAUAAAUCAACAAGAACUUUUCCAUGGAAAAUGUGUCUCUCAUUUUGGCCAAAAUUUCCGAAUCAAUACCUUCAGUCUCCGGUCAAAUGAAGUCGUAACUUGAUAAGCUUACAAGACUUUCGUUUUCCUUCUAGAAAAAAAAAAAGAAUAAAAUAAUUCCCUUGCCCUUCAACAACCUCAACAAUAAGGUUCACUAUGAGAGAAAUUUUUUUUCCAUCUAACACACUUACGUUACUCCUAAUUCAUUGCAUAAAUACGUACAAUCACAGUUAUUGAACUUAGUAUAUUUUAGUAAUUUUUUAAAUUAAUUAUCUUAUUUUUAAAAAAUUAAUACCUGAGACUCUUAUUAACGAGUGUCGACUGAAUACCUGAUAUCAAACCGAUCGAUGCUGUAGAUAGAGAAUGGUUGUUUGCAUGGAAACCAAAUCUUUUUUUUUUUUUUUUUAUUUGCUCCUUCCCCUCUUAUACAACCACCAUAUGUAGAAAGUUGAGUUCUUGGAAUCCUCCAGUGACACAGGUAUGCUGGUAAGCAAAGCACUUGAAUAUCUUCCAGAAGAAAGAUAUGUCGCGCAGCCUUAAUUGACGAAGUAAUCUCGUCAACUUUUUUUUUAAAAAUUUUGUACUGUAUAGAAAUUCCCCGGAGUUGGAGGGGCAGUUGCUUCUAAUCAAAAUAUGCUUCACACUUCACGCCACACGCACACGGUUAGGACCAGAAGUCUCAUAUGCCCUUUUCGGUGCAUUUCGUCUAAAUUCUUUUGUAGCGUGAGAAUUUAUUUAUUUAUUUAUUUUUUAAAAAUGGCUACCUAUUUUUAUUGCUUAAUUAACGAUGCUUUCGGUGCGUUUGAGUUUUCAAGAAAAUGAAUUUGAAGAGUAACAAACAUUAAGAUUAUUUGAAAUAUAUUAUUUUUUUUAAAAAUACUGUAUGAGAUAAAAAGUUGAUGCACUGACAGUAUAUACACUUUUAUCAUUAUUAGAUGCAUGACACAUAAUUUGAAUUUAAAUUUGAAACUCAAAUUUUGCAUAUGUGUCGUAUAUCCAACCGUAAUAGUGUAUACAUCGUUAGUAUACAUAAGAUUUACUCUUUGAAGUUUUAAUCUAUCCUUUGGUUUCCCAUUCUCGUGACAAAAGCACAGCUGCGCGAAUCAGUAAAAUUGGACGUAGUAAUUUGCUGUAAUGUGCAAAACCGAACUUACCUCCAUUUAGGGUUCUUGUCUAUAGAUUGACCAUGUGGUUCGGCAACACUUUUAGUGCAAAAAUUUUCAGCAUGCAACAGUCGUCCAUAGCUUAAGUGAGUUAGGCGCAGCACAUUGUUUGGCCCCGUUCCAUAUGACUUCAUUUCGUUGCCAACUUUUCUUGGAGGACUGGAAUCUCAUUAAAUAGAUCCAGCACGAUUGGUCCACGACAAUUAUUUGGUUCUGCUUUGCUGUCGUGAACUUGUGCAUUGAUUCUGUGCUUUAAUUUCUCUUGAUUUGUAGAAAAUUUGCUAGUUUUUAACUGCAAGAUUUUGUUACUCCGAAGAUUUUUAAUUUUUAUGCAGGAAAAAAAAACGCACUUCCAAACUCUGGGUACAAUAUUUGAAAAAAAAAAAGGGUAGAUGACAGGUAAGCUAAGUAGUGGUUUAGUGCCACUAUUGAAAUGUAAAAACCUCCAACCCUACACUUUUCCGACCCAUGCACCGCUCCCCGUGCCCGAACCCAAGAAGAUUUGUACAAGAAAACAGAAAAACUUUGGUGGGGUCUUGCUCGCACUAAUUUGUCACGAUUAAAUGUAUUCUUGUUUAAAAAAUUCAUGCAGAUGUGUAGUGCAUUCGUCUGAUCUGGUGGUGAUUUAAUCCUCUUCGAAUUAUUCUUGAACCUCUUCAGGUCCUAUUCCUCCUCCAUACUAUAGGAAGUUAUCGUAUCGAAAAAAAAAAAACAGAAAAAUCUCAACUCAUUAGCCUUAUUUAAUUUGAUUUGAAGCAUAAUUUUCUUGAAGAAGAGGGGCCGGGCCACACUGAUUGUAUUAGAGCAUCCACAAUGCUAUUACACUUUGUGGAGUGUAAUCCACAUGCCACGUCAGCAUUCCACUUUCUCCUCUUUUAUUACACUUUCACUCACAAUGGAUUACACUCCACAAGGUGUAAUAGCAUGGGUCCACAAUUAAUCAAAUAUUUAUUUUAAUAAUGCAUAACUCAUAUCCCAUAAAUAAAUAAAGUAAUUUUUAAAACUAAUUUUGUUAUUUUUAAAAAAUAAAGUACUAACUUUCGUUAAAUUUUGUACAUUUUGAAUUUUUUUAUUUUCUAAAAAUGAUAUUAUUAAUUUUUAAGUUUGAAUAAUAUAUCUUUUUCUAUGUUUCAAAAAUAAUAUAUUGUUAUUUUUUAAAAAAUAAUUAUGUAGGAAAUUAAACAAAUAUUUGAUACUUCAAAUGCGAAGAUAUCAUAAUAAUUCAUACUUAAUUAAUAAUUCGGAAUGUAAUUAGUUGAACUCCAUAACAUAAUAUUACAUAAGUUAAAUCAAAUAAAAUACAAAUAAUAACAAAAUGAAUACUAAUUUUCAUUGUCAUUGCCUUCGAAUCGUUCCCAAAUAUGCUCGACCAAGUCUGAUCGAAGUUGAUCGAAGUCUGAUCCCAAAUAUGCUUUGUGCUGGAAUUUUAUCGUUGUCAUAGGGCCCACAUUCAAUGGAUUACACGCAUCAUACAUGUGAUGCGUGUAAUCUCCAUGACACGGCUCCAGCGGUGUAAUGGCUCCCCGUUACUGAUUACACCCCCAUUGGAGCUGCCCUUAUGUAUAGUAUAGCUCGUAAUGGUUUUAAUCUACUCAUAACAAAUUCACUCUCCCAAACUCAAAAGUCAUCUUUGUAUAUAGAAUUUAGCCAACGAUUAUAAUUGCACAUUUUAAUAGGAAGUUUCAUAGGCUGGCUGUCAAUUGCAACCUUACAAGAAAACGAGAUGAAGACCACUCAGAGUCACAAGUCCAACAAUAAAUCCACUAACUCUCAUUAAUUAAACCCCAUCCAUCAUUCAAUCCCAAAUAAACCAGCAAGAAAUCCGCAACUAUCCAUGGAAGCCUUGUGUCUCUACCUUCCACUUUUCCUAGCAUUAUACAUCUUCACCAAGCACUUCCUCAACAAAAUCCGAAACCUUCCACCUAGUCCCAUCCUUAAUCUCCCCGUCCUCGGCCACCUCCUCCUCAUCAAGAAGCCUCUUCACCGAGGCCUAGCCAAGAUUUCCAACCGUCAUGGCCCGGUCCUCCUCCUGGAAUUCGGCUCACGCCCAGUCCUCCUUGUCUCCUCCCCUUCCGCAGCCGAAGAAUGCCUCAACAAGCACGACAUCGUUUUCGCCAACCGCCCGCGUCUGCUGGCUGGAAAACAUCUGGGAUACAAUUAUACCUCAAUGGCAUGGACGUCCUACGGGGAUCACUGGAGAAAUCUACGGCGGAUAGCUUCACUGGAGAUCUUGUCUUCCCACAGGCUUCAAACGCUUCACGGGAUACGUGUUGAUGAAGUAAAAU